UACGUAGGGUGCGAGCGUUGUCCGGAAUUAUUGGGCGUAAAGAGCUCGUAGGCGGCUUGUCGCGUCGGAUGUGAAAGCCCGGGGCUUAACUCCGGGUCUGCAUUCGAUACGGGCUGGCUAGAGUGUGGUAGGGGAGAUCGGAAUUCCUGGUGUAGCGGUGAAAUGCGCAGAUAUCAGGAGGAGCACCGGUGGCGAAGGCGGAUCUCUGGGCCAUUACUGACGCUGAGGAGCGAAAGCGUGGGGAGCGAACAGG
rnacentral:rRNA from 1 species